AAAACGAGCUAAGAUACAAAAAUCAUUAUCAAAUAUUUAUUAUUCAUAAUCAUUGAUUGUCAUAUAUACGUUAAUCAUAUUAGGCAAUUCCGUAGAUUUAUUUAAGGAAAAUGCGAGAAUAUUCUUUUGUACACUAUUUAUCAAUUUAAUAGUUAGUUUAAUAAAAAAUAUAAUAUAAGUUAAGAUGGACCAACCUAUUUUUCUAAGAAUUCUGAAUUUUAUUCUCAUGGUGACAAGUGGCUACAAAAUAAUGUUGUAGUGUUUCUCAAUUAAUAUAUAAGAGAUUACGAAAGAUUUGUUUUAAUUCAAUGUUAAUUAAUUGUGAAGUUAACAAAGAAUUAACUUAUAAAUGUAUACCUUUAAUAAAAUACAAUAAUAAUUAAAUUAAUAUAUUAUAAUAAUUAAAAAUAAAUGUAAAAAUAAGACAGAAAUAAAAUGGAUUUUUUAAUAGAAAUUAUAAAACAAAUAACAAUAUAGAAACUAUUUCAAAUCAACGUCGUUGAAGAACUCUUUCGAACCGCUUUAUCCGUUAUUCGUUCCAGGGCAGCUUGCUCCUCCAAAGUUGGUUGUAUGAUGAUAUUAAUAUUUUUACGUAUAAUCUCUAGAGCUCGAGUAGCUUUCAAGUCCAUCCACAUGUAUGGCAAACAUAAUUUUCAUGGUUUACAACUGUUGGCACGUUGCUUGAUGCUCAAUCCUUAUUGAUGAAAUCUCGUUAUGUGCAUCUGUCAACUCCGUUCAGAGUUGAGCCAGAUCAUCACCUCUACGAACAUAGGAAGAGGUGACCCUAUGAAAUUCGUUGAUUGAUUCCAAUCCAAUUGUCUGUAUUUUUAAAUACAAAAUUAUAUGAAAAUAUUAGUAAUAAUAUCAAUCAAGUUUAAAAGAGAUAUUUGAGUGAUUGUAUACGACUUUGCAAAACUUGUCUAAUUUCGGUAUGGAAAAAGAAUGUGAGUACCAUAUUCAGACUGCUGAGAAAUCUGAGCCUGAUGCUCUUGGAUCCAUGUCAUGGCAUCAUUGUUGUUUUUUUGAUCUAGCAUUAACGAAGGCUCCACUCCAGUUCUUAUGAGUUACCUAGAAAAUAUGGAAAUGGAAGGAAGUUCGCCUUGCUUUUCGGCCUGAAAAUAAAAUUGAUAAACAUCACGGAAAUUUAAACAAGUAUAAAUAUGUAAAUGUAAAUUUCAAAAUAACGAAUACUUACAAUCAGUAAACGGACAUAUGCAGAAAGUGUUUCACCGGAUAUUUGAGGCAUAGGUUUGUGACCACUCGGACCAACCGACAAACGUUAUGUCAAAAUUGACAUCCUCUACAACUAGAAAAAAUUGGUUGGUUGGCAUCAUUUAACAUUUCGUAAAAAAACAAAUUCAUCUAAGUUAGUUUCUUGAACAAUACUUUAUCACUAAAUGUUGACGUUGUGUCAUGAAGGACAUUUGUGACCAUGUCAGGAACUCUAUGAUGCUCUAUAUCUUUGUGAUCCAUCUCAUAACUACCAUGGUAAUGCAAAUUACUGAUCGAUUCUUUAUUAUCAACAUCAUUAAAUUACUAUUAUUACUACUUGCUUCAUUUCCACCCUAACCUUCUCCAUGAUUAAACUAACUACAGUAAUUCAGUGUAAACCUUUUAUUUACUAUAUGGUUCCAAAUUUUAUCAUUACGACUAAAAUUUUGUAUUCUUGCACUUCCGACAAGGACAUAUUAUCUUAACGGUUUUCAAAAUUAUCGGUAUAUUUCCAGUUUGGAACAUGAAAAUCUCUAGCCCAUUGACAAAUUUAUUUGUGACUGUUCCUUCGGAAUCUAUGUGCAUAUACAGUCAUUCUCGCAAAUCAUAUAUACUACCACUUGAAAACAUAUUUCAGUUUUAGAAAAGAACAAUUUUAUUUAGGAGACUUUUUGGUGUGGUUUUCGUUUGUGGUUCUAUAAAUAUCCAUAUUCUCAUAUUUAUAAGAAAUUUUGGAGCUUGUCAGUUACGAUUUUACCAUCGAAUUAAAAACAAAAAUUGCCCAAUUGCCAAUAUAUUUCCAUUUCCCAAUUGCACAUUAGUCAUGUAUUCACCUACUCUAUCCGUUUUUUUAAUAUAAGUCGUUUUAGAGAAAUUUUUAUGUUCGAAAUUAUAUGACGUUUUCGGUUUUCUAUGUAAAAUUUAUUAACACUUAAUGUUAUAUAACCAAUGAUAAUAUAAUUUCUAUUUUAUUAUUGGUUAAUUUGUGGUUAGUAAAUAAUUAAUGAUGUUUUUGUUUAGAAAAUAUAAAAAAUUAAUGAUUUCUUAAUCUAUGUGCACAAUUCUAAAACGACUUAUAUUAAUGAAAUAUUUUCUUUGUUAAUUCUUCAUUACGAAAAUUAUUUUGUUGUUUAUUAACUACAAAUUAUCGACAAAUUAUUUUUUUUGAGUUAGUUCGUCGUAAAACGGUUUCUAAUUAAGGAUAACAUUUUAAUUUGUUAAUUUUUGUCGUUAUGGAUAUGUUUCCCUGUAAUGGGACUGGUAUUGUUUAGUUGGAACACGGAGAUCAUGCUGUGACUUGUGAGGGGUCCAAUUGGAUUAGAGAUUUGUUUUAAGUAAAAGCUAGUUUUAGUAGUUUUUAUUGAGAUUGAUGUGAAAUAAAUAAAUAAUUUUAUUGUGUGCCCUCUCUAGAGUCAUUUGUACUUACUACUUGACUUCUUUGAUUAUUUCUUUUGUAUAAACAACAAAAUCAUAGAACAUAUAGACUUUGUUGAGUUGAUCAAGAUACCAGACAACUAUUGUGCCGCUGAACAAUAUCUUUGUUAUCAAAUACACAUUUUGAAAUUGUCAUUAAAAAUAAUGUUAUUAGAUCUAAUCUUAUUGAAUGGUCAUAUAUUUUUAAUAACCAUAUGUUGAUAUUGAAACAUGUUAAUCUCUUAGCGACCCAUUAAACUCCAGUACAUUUAUUUAUUUUACGAUGCAGAUUUAGUAUAUACAUUUUUCUUGAACCAUUAUAUACCAAAAUGAUCCACAAAGGAAAAAAAAAAAGACUGGCUGAUGGCUAUAAACAUACGAUUUUGGUUGCACCCUUAAUUUACUAUUUUCGGUUUAAUCUUAUAGUACUUUAGCCAUCGUAAAUUAAACUGGAUUAUCACUUUCCAGUUAUUCUCACAUGACCCGAUUAGCUUAGAAUAUUAGAUUAAUGAUAUAAUUUUGUUUAAUUAUAUAAUAAUCUUAGAUUAUCUCCUGUGGUAAAUCUAUUUUUUUUCUUUUUACACCAAAUAUAGAGUAAAAACAAGGGGAAUUGCCACUAAUACCAUUUUUCUAAUACCACUUUUCAACUUUACACUAAUAUCUUGCAUCAAAUGUAGAGAGAUCAAUAGUAGUACACCAAUUAUAGAGUAACAUUGUUUUUUAUUCUAUUAAUAGAAUGAAACUUUUUCUUUAUAAAAUGAUCCUUCAUUUUAAUAUGUUCUCAUUUUACACCAGAAUAAACUUAUAUAAUAUGAUUUACACAUUUAAAUAUAAUCUUUAGUACAUCAUUUGUUUUUAAUGAUGUAUUAUAAUAAAAUUUUAGUUUUAAAAUAAUAUUUUAUUGCGGUAGUACAUUGUUAUAAAAUAAAAUAAAUGGAUAAAACUUUAAUAUUUCGAAAGUUAAAAAUUGUAUCAUAAAUUAAUAUAAUAAAAAUAAUAUAUUUUUAUAUUCUCUUUUUAGAAUAUAAAAUGCAUGUAACCAUUGGACAAAAACUCUUUUUUUUUAGAAUAAUUUAUUUUUGAAGUAGAGAAUAGAGGCUACCAGGUAUUAAAAUAAUAAAACCAUUAAAACCAUAAGAAUAGUGUAAAUUUAAGAAACAAUUUAUGUAACAAACAUAUGAAUAAAAUUUUUUUUUUUCUUCAUGGAGUAGAUAUUAUAUUUUUUUCUAGAUAGGGAUCCGUCGGAAAGUGGUGACAAAAUAUGAUUUACAAUAAUCUAAAAUAAUAAUCUAAAAUGGUUCUUUUCAACAGAUUUCUAACAGUGUGACCCUAAAAAAUAAGCUGUUUUGACCGUCACACCAUUUUCUUUGUUUUUUUUUCAAACUUGCUUAUUCUAUGUUAGCUUUUGAUUUUGACUUUUGAGUUUGUUUUGAUUGUUUUAUUUGCUUCAAUUUUCCGAAAUAGAUUUUCUUAAUUUAUGUAAUAUAUUAGAUUCUUAAUAUGUGAUUAGCCUUCUCCUGAUGGUUCGCUAUGCUUUUUGUACAACUCUUGCCUUACAUUUGGGAUAGACCUAUGAUUUUUUAAACUUUUCCUUACAUCAACAAAAACACGCAAGAGAAGGUGCAGACUAAAAGGAGAUAGACUUGAAUAUGCCAUCUGCACAUAUGCUUAGUGAGAAUCCAAAGGCAAGGUACCACCAGUUUAGUGACAUUCCCAAUCCUUACAUAUAAACAAUAUUCCUUGUUUUUUUUAUAAAAGUAAAUAACUUUUUUGACAUUCAUAGAGGUUAGACGAUAUAUACCCAACAUUAAAGUUCAAAUUUAAAUUUGUAGAAAAUAGACAUAAAUAUUUACCGAGAAGUAAAAAAUAAAGAAGAGCUGACUGGGCAUAGGAGCAUCGAACUGAUUACGGAUAAAAUUACUGGGGGCAUACGAAGCAAAUUGCGUCCGUACCGUCGAUUUUAGAUUCCCCACUAUGAAUUUAAAGGCUACGAAAGAUCACAGUUUUGCCGAUGAUAAAGCACCUCCAAUAAUUAUUAUUAAACAAUUAAAAAGCAAAUUGUUGUUGCUUUUUGAUUUCUAUUGGUAUGUUUGGAGAGGCUGAGUCUCAGGUUUCAUGUGACUUGCAUCAAGCGGCCAAAAUAGAUAAAGAUAUGCGUUGCCUGUGAGCGGUGAGGCUCGUGAUGAAAGUGGCCUUGAAUCAAUAUAUUUGUUAACCAAGGCUUUAGACCAUCUGCAACUCAUUCCGUAUAUUUUCCUAAACUGAAAUAUAGAAUAUUUUUCUUUCAGUUAUAUUUCAGUUAUAUUCUAUUUUUAUAUAAUAGAGUAAAAAUGAAUUUAUUCUAUAAAUAAAACAAUGAUUUUAUCUUUUGUUCAUUACUCUAUUUUCACUUCAGCAUGAACUAGAGUUGAAGUAAAUCCAAUCCAUUAUAAAAUUGUUCUAAUUUUUUUUUUUUAAAUAAAAUUUUACAUUAGAAAUGUUUUAAGUACUCAAAUAUUAGACAUCUGAUAAUAUUUUUUUAAACUCCAAGUCCGACUAAAAAGGCUCUAAACAAACCGUCUAUACAAAGAAUCUUGACGCGUGUUGAUUUGAAUUAGCAGUCUCAUUACAAAUGACUAGGUUGCUAAAGUGUUUUUACGGUAUAUAAAUAAUAGUUGUACGGAAUACAAAGAAUUUUGACGCUUGUGAUUCUACAACUAUAUAAAUUAAUGUUAAUUAAAAUGUUUUUAUAAACAAAAAAAAUUAUAUGCUGUCUUUUUUUAAAAAAUUAUAUAUUUAUACUCUAUAUUAUAUUUAAAUAAGUAUUAUAUGAAUCAAAUAUGAAAAUUAUAUUAAAUUGGUACAUCAACCUAUGUUACUUUAAAAAUACUUUCAUUUAAAUAAAUUAUCCUUCACCAUUAAAAUGAGUUCAAUUUUAAAAACUUUUUAUUGAAAAUAAAAUAAUUAAAAUAAGUUAAACUUUUGUAUCUACAACUAUAUAUUAUUUUCUUAUUUAUUUUGAAACUCCAAAACUAUAUUAUUUAAAAAUGAUUAUUUACAAAUUCUAAUAUUAUAUUCUAACCUUUAGUUCAUGUAAUAUAUACAAAAUAUACUAUUAGAAAAUUUUAAAAUCUUAAUAAAUCAUUAAAGAUGCUAAAUGCAAAGAUAUUUUGACUCUAAAUCUCAUAUUUAUUUUAAUUUUAACAAAAUAUGUUUAGAAAAAUAUUAAAUAUUUCAGUUUAGGAAAUAAUUGUAUAAUUUUUGAAACUUUUCUUGACCAAAUAUACAAGUUUGUAAUUUUCGAAGUCAAAAUGAUAAUACUCCAAAUUUUAUAAAAGAUAAAAUAAUAGAUGUUAAAGUAUAUUGUUUGAAAUGAAACACAAAAAAAAAAAAUUUAAAAAGCAAAAGUAAUAUUAUAUUUUAAAAUAUUAAUAUAAUAACAAAAAUCAGAAAACCUAAAAUCAUAACAUCCAACUAAUAUUCUAUAUCGAUACAAUUUACUAAAAUAAUAUGAUAGAUGCUAUUAUGUAUACAAUUUAAUAAAACAAUUGUUAUAUUAUUUGAACAGGACAAUAUAUUUACUUAUAAAAUGUAGAAAAUAUUAAAAUGAUAGAUAAUAAAGUAUAUAAUUUAAAGCAAAAUAUGGAAAUAUAAAUUAUCCUAUAAAAAUAUCCUUUCUAUAGUAUAAAUAAAUAAAUUCUAAAAUUGUAUUCUAUGAAAAUCUUAGAAAUUAAAAAUAUAUAUUUUGAAUAAUAUUUUCUAUUUGAUUAUUUCAGAUUAUGAAUUUAUUCUACCCUGCUCGAAAAUGUAAUAAAUAUUAAAAACAAAGUAAAACAUAUAAAAAAUCACUCUAUAUUAUUAAUCAUGUUGAAUAAAAAAACUUAAACAAGAAAAUUAAAGAGUUACACAAUAUAUAACACUAAAAUGUAAAUCAUAUAUUUAAAACGUUUAUGAUAAUAUCAAAAAUAUAUAUUUUGAAUAAGAUUCUUUAUUUGAUUAUUUCAGAUUAUGAAUUUAUUCUACUCUGCUCGAAAAUGUAAUAAAUAUUAAAAACAAAGUAAAAUAUAUAAAAAAUCACUCUAUAUUAUUAAUCAUGUUGAAUAAAAAAACUUAAACAAGAAAAUUAAAGAGUUACACAAUAUAUAACACUGAAAUGUAAAUCAUAUAUUUAAAACGUUUAUGAUAAUAUCAAAACUAUACAUUUAUAAAAUGAAAAAAAAUAUCAGCAUGAACUUAUAGGUUAAGUAUUACUUAAAAUGCUUAUCUUUACAAACAAAUUUUUAUCCCUCACUAAUGAUACAAUGGUCACUUUGCUUAUGGAUGAACAACUUCUGUUAUCUCUCAUUUGAUAUCAACGUACAACAUUACUCCUCUUUUCAAUAUUAAAAAAUAAUUAAUUUAUUACUUCUUAUUUUUUUGUGAUACACUGAAUUUUAAACCAAUACAUAACUAGGUUAAGAUUUGCACCUUGCGCGGAAUGAUCAUUCUAUAUAUAAAUUAAUAUUUAUGUAUUAUACAUUAUUUUACAUAUUGUCAAAAAAUAAAUAUAUAUUAAAUAUAUUUACAUAUUGGCAAAAGACCUCAUGCUUUGUGUGAUAUGGUGUUUAGAAUGCACAUACGUCAUGUCGAUUCUUUGGUUGGUUGAGUGGUGUGUCUGGUUGGCCUCUGCUCCGGUUACCAUUUUGGAUAUUUCAUAAGUAUUCCUCCCAAAAAUAUCGACCUUGAAUUGUUCCAUCUCUGGCACAACGUUAACAAAUUUAAGAGGCAUCUUUGGUCGACAAAGCUCUGAUAGUAACUGAAUUCUGCAUCUCAAGUGAUCCUAGCAACCUCCUCCUUCCAAUACACUAUAAGACUGCGAAAAUAGUUGUAACACGUGAUUAUUUAUUAACUUCUUCGCAAUAUGGCCUUAUGCUCUUCUAUUGUUCCAUGUGAGGUAGAAUCGAGAAGAGAACAAUAUUGCACCACAUCUUGAAACUCCCUCAUUAGAGCUCACAGCAUUUGAAGAGUGUUUAUCAAUGUUCAAAGUCUCAUUAAAAUCUCCUACAACCAUCUACAGAUUUUUCCAAAUGAUAGAAGAAUCAUAGUAGUUCCGGAUGUCAGCCCAUAAGUCUAUUCUUUCGUUAACAGUGUUCUUCGCAUAAACAAUUGAGUAGAAAAACUCUUUUCCAAUAGUAGUUCCAGAUGUCAGCCCAUAAACUGAAAAAGACAUAGCUACAGAUAUUCUUACAACUUCCUUCAUUUACUAUUGUUUCUAAUCUAACUCUAAACUGAAAAAAAGAAACUAUUCUUCUUGUUAAAAUGUCUCGAUCACAUUCGAAAACAAAGGUGACAUGAUUAUUUCUUCUUGGUGGUUCUUCUUCUACCAGCUACGCUAGGAGCUAGAUCCUUUGCAUUUGCAGUGUUCGAAUCAAGCCUCUGAGCGUUAAGUUGAACAAAUUGAUAUCAGAACUCAGGCUCAGCUCAGAGGAGGUCGCGAUUGAAGAAUCUAGGGUUUUCUUGGAGGCAAGUGCUGACAGAAUCUAAGGUUGAUAUCAGUAAAUUUACUUUAAAAAUACUAGUAAAUACACAUAUUUUUUGUAGAGAUAUUCUCUUGUGUACUUUGUGUUACUAUUCUUGCUAGUUCUCGCAUUUACACAUAGACUCUCUCUUAUCUAAAUCUACAAAUCUCACAUGAAUAGCUGACAUGCCAAGUUUUAUAAUUUGUAAAACCUAACCUAAUCAUCCAAAGUAAAACGUAACUGAAGCGGUAAGAAGGGAUUGAACUCAAACGAAAAUAUUCAUUAGUAAAUGAUCAUCUUUUAUUAGAAUAUUUAUUUAGUACAACAAGCUCCUUAUCUAUGAAGCAAGUAGUCGAGAUAUGAAGAUGAUCAUGAUGGUGGGAUAAAGUGUUUCAUGCAUCUGCGAGCUUCUUCUUCUGGUUCUGGAAGGAGAGGUUUGGGCGGCGGAAAUAUUGUUUGGCAGGGUUCUUAUUGGUACCGUUAAUAAAGCUUUGGUACCAUUUGCCAGAGUCUUUGAGAUUUCUAUCAUUGAGGUCUGUCCAGUUAACGUAACUAAGUCCGAAUCUAACGGUAAAACCUUUGCAGAAU